rnacentral:rRNA from 1 species
GACGAACGCUGGCGGCGUGCUUAACACAUGCAAGUCGAACGGAAAGGCCCUGCUUUUGUGGGGUGCUCGAGUGGCGAACGGGUGAGUAACACGUGAGUAACCUGCCCUUGACUUUGGGAUAACUUCAGGAAACUGGGGCUAAUACCGGAUAGGAGCUCCUGCUGCAUGGUGGGGGUUGGAAAGUUUCGGCGGUUGGGGAUGGACUCGCGGCUUAUCAGCUUGUUGGUGGGGUAGUGGCUUACCAAGGCUUUGACGGGUAGCCGGCCUGAGGGGGUGACCGGCCCAAUGGGGACUGGGAAACGGCCCGGCGCCCUAGGGGGGGAAAGAGGGGGGAAUAUUGCACAAGGGGCGGAGGCCUAAGGCAGCAACGCCGGUGGGGGGAGGAGGGCCUUCGGGUUGUAAACCGCUUUCGCCUGUGACGAAGCGUGAGGAAGGGUAAUGGGGAAAAAAGCACCGGCUAACUACGU